rnacentral:rRNA from 1 species
AUUGAACGCUGGCGGCAGGCCUAACACAUGCAAGUCGAAUGGUAACAGGAAACAGCUUGCUGUUUCGCUGACGAGUGGCGGACGGGUGAGUAAUGUCUGGGGAACUGCCUGAUGGAGGGGGAUAACUACUGGAAACGGUAGCUAAUACCGCAUAACGUCGCAAGACCAAAGAGGGGGACCUUCGGGCCUCUUGCCAUCAGAUGUGCCCAGAUGGGAUUAGCUAGUAGGUGGGGUAACGGCUCACCUAGGCGACGAUCCCUAGCUGGUCUGAGAGGAUGACCAGCCACACUGGAACUGAGACACGGUCCAGACUCCUACGGGAGGCAGCAGUGGGGAAUAUUGCACAAUGGGCGCAAGCCUGAUGCAGCCAUGCCGCGUGCAUGAAGAAGGCCUUCGGGUUGUAAAGUACUUUCAGCGGGGAGGAAGGGAGUAAAGUUAAUACCUUGGCUCAUUGACGUUACCCGCAGAAGAAGCACCGGCUAACUCCGUG